GAUGAACGCUGGCGGCGUGCCUAAUACAUGCAAGUCGAGCGAACAGACGAGGAGCUUGCUCCUUCGACGUUAGCGGCGGACGGGUGAGUAACACGUAGGUAACCUACCUAUAAGACUGGGAUAACUUCGGGAAACCGGAGCUACUACCGGAUAAUAUUUCGAACCGCAUGGUUCGAUCGUGAAAGAUGGCUUUGCUAUCACUUAUAGAUGGACCUGCGCCGUAUUAGCUAGUUGGUAAGGUAACGGCUUACCAAGGCAACGAUACGUAGCCGACCUGAGAGGGUGAUCGGCCACACUGGAACUGAGACACGGUCCAGACUCCUACGGGAGGCAGCAGUAGGGAAUCUUCCGCAAUGGGCGAAAGCCUGACGGAGCAACGCCGCGUGAGUGAUGAAGGUCUUCGGAUCGUAAAACUCUGUUAUUAGGGAAGAACAAACGUGUAAGUAACUGUGCACGUCUUGACGGUACCUAAUCAGAAAGCCACGGCUAACUACGUG
rnacentral:rRNA from 1 species